rnacentral:lncRNA from 1 species
GCAUUUACCGGCCGCGUUGACUCGAACAAGGGCAGUUAAUGGUUUUGGUCGUAUCUAGAAGCGAUACAAAUUGAUUUUACAAACGAAACAAUGCGUGGCGCCAUGUGUUCGCGCUGGGCCAGAUGUCGCCAUAGUCGGUUUCUUGAUCAACUAGGUUAGUUGUCGCGUAUCGUAUUGGCAACGACGCGGAACAUUUUCUUUCAGUCACAUUCACUUUCUUGCAAUUUGCGUGAUAUUUAAUCAUGGUUGCAUUCUUUUAAAGGUUUUGUUCAUUUUUUUUGGCUUGAUUGUGGGUAGUUGAUUUUUUUGUAAAGUAUCGAGCAGAUUGUCAAUUCGGGAGCAAAAAAGAACACGAUCGUCCUGAGGCAGGUAAUAAUAAUAAUAAAUAAAUAAAAGGGCUUGGAUUAUCUGCGGUAUAUAAAAGUUGGAGUAUGUUGAAGCUGAAUAUUUUAAGCGAUUUGUGUAUAGUGCUGAAUAUAAUGAGAUUGAUGUAGGUAGG